UCCGAUGUGAAGUUGGUGAGCUCCGGGU
rnacentral:sRNA from 1 species